rnacentral:snRNA from 1 species
UUGUCUUUGGCAGCACAUAUACUUCAAUUGGAAUAAUACAGAGAAGAUUAGCAUGGCUGCUGAGCAAGGAUUAUGCACAAAUUCAUGAAGUGAGCACAGUUAAC